rnacentral:rRNA from 1 species
AUGGCUGUGGCAUCUCAUCCGCUGCUCUCUUGCUCCUUCUCCGUCGCCUCCCCGAACCAACCAAUCCUUCGACUCCUUCGCCGCCCUCUGAAAUCCUCCACCUCCAAAUGCUUCCUCCAUUCCCCGCGGCGACGUAACCAACCAGCCGCCCGCCAGCCAGACGACGACGAGCAUGACGGGGAAGAGGAUAUGUGGAGCCCGGCUACCAGCCCCUCCGGAGCCCACCUCGUCGAUACCCUGAAUGACGAAAAGGGCGGCCACGGAUGGGAUCCACCCAAUGGCGACGGCGCAGAGGAGGGAGAGCAGCUCCAAGAAUACGAGGUGGGUGAGUGGGAUCCACCUGCCAGCCCGUCACGAGCGCAGGCCCAGGAACAGCUUCGACAAGAGGAGGAGGAGGAGGAGGAAGAAGAUGAAGACGGCGGGGACUGCCCGUGGCUGGACGCGAGCUACUUCUUGCGAAGCCAAGAAGGGGCAAGCACCAACACCACUGCAGAAAUGGAAGAAAUUCUCGCCUUUGCGAAGAGCCCAGUGGCGGCGGACGGCCCUGGGCUCGCUGGGUUCUUGGCUGGUUACAGCCGCGGUGCACUCGACGAGGACGAGUGCGUGGAGUUGAUGAGGAGGAUGGGUGAGGAGCGCCUGGCGUUGGGGUGCCUCCACUUGUUCCCGUGGAUGCGGGCGCCCGAGGAGCGGCCGAUUUCGUUGUCGCCGCAGGCAUGGUUGGUGGCUCUCGUGGUGCUUGGACGGGCACGGAUGGCCGAUGAAAUCUUGGAGAUUCUGGGAAGUUUGCCGCCGGAGAGGGGAUUUCGUGAGGCGGUUCUGUACAAUGCUGCAAUGUCUGGUGUUGCCUACUGUGGAAGAUAUGAUGAUGCCUGGAAAAUAUUCGAGAGUAUGGAGAAGAACAAUGUCCAACCUGACCACAUAACAUCCUCGAUCGUGUUAAUGGUAAUGAAGAGGCGCAAGGCAUCAGCCAAGGAUUCAUGGGAGUUCUUCCAACGAAUGAACAGAAAAGGUGUCAAGUGGAGCUUGGGUGUCUCUGCUUCUCUAAUUAAGAUAUUUUGUGAUGAGGGGCUGAAGAAAGAAGCUCUUAUCUUCCAAUCAGAAAUGGAGAAGAGAGGAAUUCCGUCAAACACGAGCAUUUAUAACGCAAUAAUGAAUGUAUAUUGCAAAUGCAGUCAAAUUGAAGAAGCUGAGGGGCUCUUUGCUGAGAUGAAAGAGAGAGGCUUAAAACCAACAAGGGUGACUUAUAAUAUCCUUAUGGAUGCUUACAGUAGAAGAUUGCAGCCAGAAGUUGUUGAAUCGUUACUUCUGGAGAUGCACGAUUUGGGAUUUCAGCCAAAUGCUAGGUCAUACAACUGCCUCAUAAGUGCCUAUGGGCGGCAGAAAAAAAUGAUCGAAAAGGCUGAAGAUGCUUUCCUGAGGAUGAAGAAAGGUGACAUCAAGGCAACAUCUUCCUCGUACACAUUACUGAUUUGUGCAUAUGCAGUGAGUGGACAGUAUGAAAAAGCUCACACUGCAUAUUUAGAUAUGAAAAGAGAAGGACUUAAACCUUCCUUAGAAACAUAUACAGCUUUGCUUGACAUAUUUAGGAGGGCUGGUAACAUAGAGAAGUUAAUGGAGACAUGGAAAUCAAUGACCGAUGAAAAGGUUGGAUGCACUAGAGUCACAUUUCACAUGGUACUUGAUGGUUUGGCGAAACAUGGGUUGUAUGUUCAGGCAAGAGAUGUAAUAUGUGAGUUUGGAAACAUAGGUUUACCUCCUACGGCGAUGACCUACAACAUAUUGAUGAAUGCUUAUGCAAAGGGAGGACAGCAUUACAAAUUGCCCCAACUCCUGAAAGAGAUGUCUACUCUGGAACUAAAACCAGAUUCAGUUACAUAUUCUACAAUGAUAUACGCAUAUGCUCGCGUCCGCGACUUUUCGAGAGCAUUCUAUUACCACAAACAGAUGGUUCGAAAUGGACAACUGCCUGAUGCUAAGUCAUACAGAAAGCUGUUGAAUACCUUGGAUGUGAAAUCUGCAAGGGAAAACAUAAAGGAUAAGAGUGCCAUUGCAGGAGUUGUAAAAGGAAAAUCUAGCUUAAAGCAUAGGAAGGAAAAGAAGGAUGAAUUUUGGAAGAACAGUAAAAGGAGGUCUAUGACCCAAGUUAAUGGAUACCAGAGAAAAAGAUUUUUGUGA